GGAUCGAAGCGGCUGGGUUGGGCGGUAAACAGGCCGUGGGUAGGGAGGACAGAGAGGCGGCGUUCGCUCCUCUGGGACUUUUCACGCCUCGUUUUGUUUUUUUUCUUCAGAUGUGGCUUUUUCCUGACGCAGGGUCCAAGCAGUCAGCUUGAGCUUACUCUUCUGUGAAAGCGGAAAGUCUCCUCUGAGGAAAGCGGUUGAACUUGUGGAGGGCGUGCGAGACGGGCGUUCUCCCCCAUGCCAGGCGAAUGGUGCGGCCUUGAGCUGGUCCAGCAGCCGGCUCGAUGACAGGUCUGAGGGAGGCCCCAGAGGCGGCGGGAAGGUGGCCCGCAGAACGCGGGUUCUGUAAAGACACGUGGAGAAGAUUCGAUUCCGAGAACAGGAAGAGGCGGAUGGAAAGACAGCCAGGCGGCUGCCGGGAAGGGGGCUGCCAAGAUGGCGUCGGCCUCCUCCCAACCGUCGUUGGCGGUCGGUUUUUCAUCCUUUGAUCCCGGGGCCCCUUCCUGUACCGCGUCCUCAGCAUCUGGAAUCUUGAGCCCCACGGCAUCUGAGGUGCCUUAUGCCUCUGGCAUGCCCAUCAAGAAAACAGGCCAUCGAGGUGUCGAUUCCUCAGGAGAGACAACAUAUAAAAAGACAACCUCAACAGCCUUGAAAGGUGCCAUCCAGUUAGGCAUUACUUACACUGUGGGGAGCCUGAGUACCAAACCAGAGCGUGAUGUCCUCAUGCAAGAUUUCUACGUGGUGGAGAGUAUCUUCUUCCCCAGUGAAGGGAGCAACCUGACCCCUGCUCAUCACUACAAUGCCUUCCGUUUCAAGACCUAUGCGCCGGUUGCCUUCCGCUACUUUCGGGAGCUAUUUGGUAUCCCGCCCGAUGAUUACUUGUGCUCCCUCUGCAGUGAGCCGCUGAUUGAACUCUGUAGCUCUGGAGCUAGUGGUUCCCUGUUCUAUGUGUCCAGCGACGAUGAACUCAUUAUUAAGACACUCCAACAUAAAGAGGCGGAGUUUCUGCAGAAGCUGCUUCCAGGAUACUACUUGAACCUCAGCCAGAACCCUCGGACUUUGCUGCCUAAAUUCUUUGGACUGUACUGUGUGCAGACAGGUGGCAAGAACAUUCGGAUUGUGGUGAUGAACAAUCUUUUACCAAGAUCCGUCAAAAUGCAUAUCAAAUAUGACCUCAAAGGCUCAACCUACAAACGCCGGGCUUCCCAGAAAGAGCGAGAGAAGCCUCUUCCCACAUUUAAAGAUCUAGACUUCUUACAAGACAUCCCUGAUGGUCUUUUUUUGGAUGCUGACACGUACAAUGCUCUCUGUAAGACCCUGCAGCGUGACUGUUUGGUGCUGCAGAGCUUCAAGAUAAUGGACUAUAGCCUCUGGCUGUCAAUCCACAAUAUAGAUCAUGCACAACGAGAGCCCUUAAGCAGCGACACUCUUCAAGUGUCAAUCGACACUCAAAGACUGGCUCCCCAAAAGGCUCUGUAUUCCACAGCCAUGGAAUUCAUCCAGGGAGAGGCUCGGCUGGGCGACACCAUGGAGGCCGAUGACCAUAUGGGUGGCAUCCCUGCUCAGAAUAGUAAAGGGGAAAGGCUUCUGCUUUAUAUUGGCAUCAUUGACAUUCUACAGUCUUACACGUUUCUUAAGAAGUUGGAGCACUCUUGGAAAGCCGUGGUACAUGAUGGGGACGCUGUCUCAGUGCAUCGCCCAGGCUUCUACGCUGAACGGUUCCAGCACUUCAUGUGCAACGCAGUAUUUAAGAAGAUCCCCUUGAAGCCUUCUCCUUCCAAAAAGUUUCGGUCUGGCUUAUCUUUCUCUCUGCAUACGGGCUCCAGUGGCAACUCCUGCAUUACUUACCAGCCAUUGGUCUCUGAGGAACACAAGUCACAAGUGAUAAAGGUGCAAGUGGAGCCAGGUGUUCACCUUGGUCGUUCUGAUGUUUUACCUCAGACCUCAGAAUCCACCUUUGGAGGAAAUCAGUGAGGGCUCACUAUUACUGACCACAGUUUCUCACCUGUAGUUGGAAAGACUUUGCAUAUGCUAACUACAAGUAUAACCUUGGAAAAACUUGAAUGUACAGAGUCAGAGUUCACCCAUUAAGCGCAAAGCCUCAGAAGACCUGGAACAAGAUUCUGCUUCUCUGUGAUCCCAAGAUGUCAGCCCUUGCCCCAGCAAUGUUGAAUUUUCUUCUACUUGGUCAUCAAAAAAGGAGUGUAAAAGAAGCGAGGUGCACUCUCCAUCUUCUUCCUGAAGAAGAGCCUCCUAUUCUUCUCUGUCCUCAUAAAUGGGCAUUAGUGCCUUGGACAGUUGAGGACCACUCCAUCCUCUCCACAGCAUCCCCUCCACUCCAGAGUUGGGUGGCACGGAUUUUCAACUGGCUAACCUUGGUUUCCACAACUGAAUUUUUUUCAGACCCCCAUUCUUCAUGCUGGAAAUGAGAUUACUGGACUUGGCAGUUUUCUUUCCCCUCAUCUUUCACCAGGAACUGGACUCUUCAUUUCCUCAGGACAGACUAGCUGCCACAUUAUCCCCACCUUAGUUCUUUCUCUCUGAUCCCUGGAAGAAAACCCCUGUAAUCUCUGUAUAGGUUUUUGGGGGAUAAGGGUGUUUAACCACCUCCCAACUUUGUUUUUUUUUUUUUCCUGAAAAAAGGAAAAAGCGCACAGCACCAAAUUUCAAGCCAGUUUCAGAUCAAAAAUCCAGAAGUGUUGACGAGAUGCCUAUCCGUAGGGUUCCCUCAGAAGAGCCACGGUGUUUGUGAAGGGAAAAGUAGUGAUUGCUCUGCCAGAAGCAGCUCCUCUUUAAACUCCUCAUCUCUUGAUGAAUUUCUUAAGGCUGAAGGAAUGGAGAGAGUGGGACGUGGGGUAAUCUUUACCACUUUUGUUAAAACAUGAGGCAGCCAUGGGUUGGGAGAUCAUAGCCCUUCCUGGGCAGAAUCCUAUUCACUGCCAGGCUAUAAUGAUUAUUACUGUUUUGCAAUUUGAAAUAUAUUCUGGUUGCUUUUCUAAAUAUGAAGACUUACCAAAUGAAUUUUAGAUCAUUCUCCAAAGGAGAUUUUUUUGCUCUUCCCAUCUUUUCCAACAGUGUUCUCCUGUUUGUGGUGCUAAGGUGAAGAGGGGACACCUCUGUCUGUUUAACAGGCAGUCCGUAUCUGUGAGGCCAGCAAAUAUUUUCUUAAAUUCAUGGGGAGACAGUGGAUUCUUGCCUCGGUGAGGUCAUUGCUAUGCCAUAUGUCCUACCCCCGUCUUCAUGCAGAGAAGUUGGAAAUGGGGGCUACAUAUGCCCUCUCCUCCCCACCUACAAGAGUUGUGGUUUUCCAUCUGAUCCUUCCACUGUUGUCAGGAGAAGAAGGGGGCCUGGUAUCUCAGGCAUAUUGUUGAAUUCCUGUUCUAUCCCUUCUCUAUCCCACCCUGCCUUGACAGUAGGUUAGCCCAUACCCCAAAUAACUUUCUAUAUUAGACACCCCCAGCCAGUUUCUGGCUGCCUGUCUUUGCUGCCAUGUUCUUUUUUACAAGAAGGAAAGAAACAAUUCUUGCUAUUUUUUUCAUAAUUUACUAUUUAUGAUGUAUUUAAGUGUUUUAUUAAGGACAGAGUUCUGUAAGGGGUGGGAGAGAAUAUUUGAGGGAGGGCUGGGUCUUAGGGAAAGGAAUAGGGAAUCAACAUUUUAAUGAAGUGUCUCUAUUUGCUUCUACUUUGUAUCAUUCGGAAAAGGCAAAUGCAAUAUAAAAGUGAUAUAUGGUUUUAAUGUAAUAAACUUUUAUCAGUUAUUUAGAAAAAGAAAAGAAACCGAUGGAUCAUUUUGACAACAAUGAAGAAAGGAGACAGGAACAAGGAAAAGUUGAGGUUAUCCUGUAAAGCAUCUUAAAGCAGAAAGCAAGGCUCUUAGUUUGUAAUUUAAUACACCUGACUGUAAUAAUUGUAAAACAAGGCAGGAGUCAAGGAAGGGAGGCAGCUGACGAUGCCAUGUGUCUGUCAGCAUAAGGCAAAGGCAGAGCGAGGUGAAAAGGCAUGACCAGGAAAGAUGACAUGCAUUGUCAUAAAUAAAUGCAGAGAGAAAUAAUUUUUUUUUGUGAAAACGAACGGACCCAUAUACUUUAUAAACACAGGGUACCACUUAUUCUUCAAACUAUCUAAACUAGUCAUGGAUGAGUUUUCAAUGUUUUUAUAUGAGUUCUUUCAUGAGUCCAAAAUACUAUUUCUUACAUUGUGUCUUUCCAUAACUUAUCUGCCAAUAAAGAUACCUGCUAGGGCA